CCUACGGGAGGCAGCAGUAGGGAAUAUUGCACAAUGGGGGAAACCCUGAAGCAGCAACGCCGCGUGGAGGAUGAAGGUUUUCGGAUUGUAAACUCCUUUUGUUAGAGAAGAGAAUGACGGUAUCUAACGAAUAAGCACCGGCUAAGUCCGUGCCAGCAGCCGCGGUAAUACGGAGGGUGCAAGCGUUACUCGGAAUCACUGGGCGUAAAGAGCGCGUAGGCGGGAUAGCAAGUCAGAUGUGAAAUCCUAGGGCUUAACCAUAGAACUGCAUUUGAAACUGUUAUUCUAGAGUAUGGGAGAGGUAGGUGGAAUUCUUGGGGUAGGGGUAAAAUCCGUAGAGAUCAAGAGGAAUACUCAUUGCGAAGGCGACCUGCUAGAACAUAACUGACGCUGAUGCGCGAAAGCGUGGGGAGCAAACAGGAUUAGAUACCCGUGUAGUC
rnacentral:rRNA from 1 species